AGAAAAGAGAAAAUUCACAAAAAAUAUCAAAUGAUGAAAUAAAAAAUAUUAAAAAUCAGAAAUAGAAACUAGAAUUUAUUUGGGAAAUAAUGCAAUUGGUCCCAUAAUUUUUGGAUUAAAAAUGAAAGAGAUAUGAUUUUUUGAAAUAAAAGGAAAUAAAGAAAAUAAAAUCAGAAAAUAAAAAAAGCAAAAAAACAAGGAGCGUUGGAUCUGAGCUCAUUA
rnacentral:lncRNA from 1 species